UGGUGGCGAUAGCGGAGGGGAACCACACGUUCCCAUCUCGAACACGACCGUUAAGCCCUCCAGCGCCGAUGGUACUUGGACCGCAGGGUUCUGGGAGAGUAGGACGUCGCCA
rnacentral:rRNA from 1 species